UCAAAGAAUCUUUUUUUUAUUCUGCCUGUACUCUCCACCCCUCUUCUUCUAUUGCUCAGGUUGAAGCAGAAUUUGCCCGUCUUACAUCUGUUGACCUGAAAGGGUUCCUUUUUGCUGUGCUUGACCAUUAUGGAGAGGUUCGUGGAGCUGUACAAAAUCAAGAGCGGCAUAGGAGGGCUGACUAGGCCCAUAAAAUGCUUCGAUGAUGAUAGCCCUACACAAAGGAAGAGGACAGAGGACCUCAUUUUCUAAAGGAAGAUCCCUCACACACUUUCAAGACUGUGAAGCCGACAGGUAUUGAAGACACGUUUUCUAAGAGGAUGAAAGUUGGCAUUGCGAUGGUGAAAGAAGAAGACCUC